CUUUGGUCUGAUGAAGUUUGUGUCUCUGUCAAGUUCUCUAAUCACUAUAUGAUUUUAGCCCUUGUUGUCAAUAAAAUUACCAAUGUGGAAUUUGUUUUGGCUUGUGUUUAUGGAGAUCCCCAUCAUCGCCACACUAACCUAAUUUGGGAUCAUAUUCUAAAUUUUGUUAAUGAUAACAUAGGGAAGCCAAUUGUUUGUUUCGGUGAUCUGAAUGAUAUCAUGUGUGAUACGGAAACUACUUCUCUCAAUGUGAAUAAGAACCGUAUGCGUGCUGUCAAU
rnacentral:rRNA from 1 species